CCCGCUGAACUUAAGCAUAUCAAUAAGCGGAGGAAAAGAAACCAACAGGGAUUGCCUCAGUAACGGCGAGUGAAGCGGCAAAAGCUCAAAUUUGAAAUCUGGCUCCUUUGGGGCCCGAGUUGUAAUUUGCAGAGGAUGCUUCGGGCGUGGCCGCGGUCUAAGUCCCCUGGAACGGGGCGUCGCAGAGGGUGAGAAUCCCGUCUUCGGCCGGCCGGCUUCGCCCAUGUGAAGCUCCUUCGACGAGUCGAGUUGUUUGGGAAUGCAGCUCUAAAUGGGUGGUAAAUUUCAUCUAAAGCUAAAUAUUGGUCGGAGACCGAUAGCGCACAAGUAGAGUGAUCGAAAGAUGAAUAGCACUUUGAAGAGAGAGUGAUGCAGUAUGUGAAAUUGUUGAACGGGAAGCGCUUGCGACCAGAGUCGGCCGUGGGGGAUCAGCCGGCUUUCGUCGCCCGAGCACUCCACCGCGGUAUUGUCAUUGUCUGUAUUAAAGGCCGGUCUAAGGACCCCGGAAUGCUCUCGCCUAUCUAGAUAUAUUGAAAUGGAGGAGAAAUGUGUUGAAAAUCUCAACAUCAAUGAUCUGUCUUUUGGUGAAAUGUAUCUCUGGACGUUGAUCACUUGUCUGUCAUCUCUCCCAAAGAUUUAAUACAU
rnacentral:ncRNA from 1 species